UGGGAAAGGUUGAUUUUUGACAGUUUAACUGCCAGGUAGUGGCCACAGUGGCCAGCCAGAUGCAUCUUGGGAAUCAUGUAAAUCUUUUGCUUUUUACGAAGAUCCUGCUGUGAAUCACUAGUGGAGAGAACAUUGUUGUGCUCAGCCCCUGCUUAUGAGUUUUGCACAGACAGCUGUUUGGCCACUGUGAGGACAGAUGGGCCUGUGGCCUGAUCAAGCACGACUCUUCUGGUGUUCUUAUAAGUCUCCAGCUCUGAAUCCUCAACAUAGAAGAAACAGAAAGUGCACUGGGAACUUCCUACCACUCUGAAAGGUGGUAUAAUUAGAUGAAACCUGACAUGCCAUUGACAUGCUGGGAACAUGUGUUGGAGGCACAUGUUUUGAUUAGUGCUCUCUCUCUCUCUCUCUCUCUCUCUCUCACACACACACACACACACACACACACCCCAGUGACCAGUCUUUUCAAGGCUGCCUUUUCAUCUGGAUUUGCAGAACACGCAGGAGAGCCUGAUGCCAAAAAUGUGCUUUGCAGCAAACAUCUCCGUUGUGAUUGUUUGUAACCAAUAAAAUCAUAUUACACACUGA